UACGGGGGGUGCGAGCGUUGUCCGGAAUCACUGGGCGUAAAGGGCGCGUAGGUGGUCUGAUAAGGGUGUGGUGAAAGCCCGGGGCUCAACCCCGGGUCGGCCGUGCCGACUGUUAGACUGGAGUGCUGUAGGGGCAGGCGGAAUUCCGGGUGUAGCGGUGGAAUGCGUAGAGAUCCGGAGGAAGACCGGUGGCGAAGGCGGCCUGCUGGGCAGAUACUGACACUGAGGCGCGACAGCGUGGGGAGCAAACAGG
rnacentral:rRNA from 1 species